rnacentral:rRNA from 1 species
AACGAACGCUGGCGGCAGGCCUAACACAUGCAAGUCGAGCGCCCAGCAAUGGGAGCGGCAGACGGGUGAGUAACGCGUGGGAACCUUCCCAAUGGUACGGAAUAGCUCAGGGAAACUUGAGGUAAUACCGAAUAAGCCCGAAAGGGGAAAGAUUUAUCGCCAUUGGAUGGGCCCGCGUAGGAUUAGCUAGUUGGUGAGGUAAUGGCUCACCAAGGCGACGAUCCUUAGCUGGUUUGAGAGAAUGACCAGCCACACUGGGACUGAGACACGGCCCAGACUCCUACGGGAGGCAGCAGUGGGGAAUCUUGGACAAUGGGCGCAAGCCUGAUCCAGCCAUGCCGCGUGAGUGACGAAGGUCUUCGGAUUGUAAAGCUCUUUUGCCAGGGACGAUAAUGACGGUACCUGGAGAAUAAGCCCCGGCUAACUUCGUGCCAGCAGCCGCCGUAAC